rnacentral:rRNA from 1 species
GACAGAGGGUGCAAACGUUGCUCGGAAUCACUGGGCGUAAAGGGCGCGUAGGCGGCGUUUUUAAGUCGGGGGUGAAAGCCUGUGGCUCAACCACAGAAUGGCCUUUGAUACUGCGAGUCUUGAGUCCGAUAGAGGUGGGUGGAAUUCCUAGUGUAGAGGUGAAAUUCGUAGAUAUUAGGAAGAACACCAGUGGCGAAGGCGGCCCACUGGAUCGGUACUGACGCUGAGGUGCGAAAGCGUGGGGAGCAAACAGG